UUGAAUGAUGAGAACAGGCCGCAGCGCCUCAUUAUAAACCCAGCUCUUCGAUUCCUCUUUGAGGAUACAUGAGACGAAAACUUUAUACCUGACA
rnacentral:snoRNA from 1 species